rfam:Baudoinia panamericana TAMH 10762 unplaced genomic scaffold BATCOscaffold_1, whole genome shotgun sequence.
GGUCGCUUAGCUCAGUUGGUUAGAGCGUGGUGCUAAUACCUGUUGUAUAUCUCAAACGCCAAGGUCGCGAGUUCGACCCUCGUAGUGACCA